GAUGAACGCUGGCGGCGUGCCUAAUACAUGCAAGUCGAGCGAACAGACGAGGAGCUUGCUCCUCUGACGUUAGCGGCGGACGGGUGAGUAACACGUGGAUAACCUACCUAUAAGACUGGGAUAACUUCGGGAAACCGUAGCUAAUACCGGAUAAUAUAUUGAACCGCAUGGUUCAAUAGUGAAAUACGGUUUUGCUGUCACUUAUAGAUGGAUCUGCGCCGCAUUAGCUAGUUGGUAAGGUAACGGCUUACCAAGGCAACGAUGCGUAGCCGACGUGAGAGGGGGAUCGGCCACACUGGAAGUGAGACACGGUCCAGACGACUACGGGAGGCAGCAGUAGGGAAUCUUACGCAGUAGGCGAAAGCAUGACGGAGCAACGCCGAGUGAGUGAUGAAGGUCUUGGGAUCGUAAAACUCUGUUAUUAGGGAAGAACAAAUGUGUAAGUAAAUAUGCACGUAUUGACGGUACCUAAUCAGAAAGCCACGGCUAACUACGUG
rnacentral:rRNA from 1 species